UACUACCCAAAUCUUUAUGAUCGUUCAUCCCCAUCAUGCCCUACCUAGAUUUCUGCACAAGCUCAAUGGUGGACAAUGAACAUUCAAUUUCAAUGGUGGAUAAGAUUGGACAGAGAGAGAACAAAGAAGAUGCUCAAAGAAAGGGAUGCAAUGCUGGGUUUGCAGAUGAAGGAGAUUGAAAACAGAGGUCAAAUCCAGAAGAUGGUUAGAUGGUUGAGAUUGAUGUUGAUUGGGUGUUCAGAUUGAAUCAACUCUAUAAUCAACCCAUUAGAAAAGGAGCAGCAAAAAAAGGCCACUGGUACACCAUCAAUUAAGAUUGAGAAUUUUGAGGAGAUACUAUGAUUACCAAAUCUAUUUAAUUUCCCUCAAGAGUGCAGCACUUGAUGAUUUUUGAGAAAGAGAAUAGAAUAAUACCUCAUUAUGUUUAUGUCUCGGACUCCCGGUUCAUGAAAUUUGAAAUUGAAUGUUUACA